CUCAGGUCUGCAGGCUGUCCGCUUGUCUCUGGCAGCUGAAGCUGCACCCGCUAAAAGUGUUCAGUAAACACAGAGACAGCGCUGUCUGCCCAAACAUCGCGUUAGUUGAGCGAUAUUUCGUGACUUUAGUUAAAUCGUGAUAUCUGUUAGCUAAAGUGACGUUAGCUCUGACGGCGGGCCUCGAGCAGCCACGUGGAGAAAACGGAGAGAUGAAAGACAAGGUGGACCUCAGUGUGGCGGCUCUUUGCAUGAGCCCAACAGAUGUCCAGUCGGGUAUAACAGGUCUCCUCAUGUCCCUGCAGGACGGGUCAGAAGAAUGGGUCUAUGCAAGGUGAUGGAGGCACGUUCAGCCACGACUGAGGUGUGAGCUGCCAUAAGAGCUGUUAAAUCGUCGUGCAGCGCUGCCGAUGCGCCCUGUUAAACCAGCUUGACGGCGGUUCAUUUCCUGCAGGUUGGGUGCAUCAUCUUAACGGGGCGCAGCUGCAACUUCUUCUUUGAGACGGAGCUUGUGUCAAGCCAGUCUGAUGUGUCCCCUGAAGUCUGCAUUGGAGUAAAUUCACAGAGUUGGAUCAAGCGGUUGAGGAAACUGCCUCAGUGUGCUGGCAAAGCUACAUGUGAUGACAGGAGGACUCGUGGACAUGG